rnacentral:lncRNA from 1 species
GCUUGACAAGAAAUUCAAAAUAACUUUUAAGGAUUAUCAAAUUUCAAGAAAAUACAAAAUAGGGGAAAGAGACUAGAAUUAUGGCUUUACCAAAUUGAUUGAAAUAAUAACUUCAAAUAAAUUCCGGAGCUGAAAAAUAUAAUCAAUGAAAUGAAAAAUGCAAUAGAGAUUCAAUAGCAGAAUUCAUUAUACAAAGAACUGUGAAAGUGAAGAUAAGUCAUAGUAUUGAUGGGACAGCAUUAAAAGAGCAAAUAUUUGGAGUAGUUGUGUUGUUCAGUGGGAAACUGAACAACAUGCAUGCAUGAGGUCUUGGGUUCAAUCCUCAGCACAAAAGAAAAUGAGCAGAUGUUUCUGUGAUUGGUGUUGAGGAAGUAAAGAGAAAGGGGUACACUUAGUAAUAGAAAACUUUCCAAAACAGGAAAAAUAUAAAUAUCCAGGUAUAAGAAGUUUGAAGGUCACCAAUCAUAUUCAAUCUAAAUAUGACUACCCCAGGAUAUAUUAUAAUCAAACUUAUAUCAACAAAAGGAUCCUGAAUGCCUCAAGUUUUUUUUUUAAAUGUAAAUAACAUAGCAGCAGACUUUUCAACAGAAACAGUUUAAAAGAGAGGGUGCUGAAGGAAAAACAAAAAAUAAAAUCCAAGAAUACUGUCCUUCAGAAAUAGAGAAGCAAAGACAUUCCCAGACCAACGUUUAUAUAUACAAGUUUAUUACGUUCAGACUUCCCUUGUAAAAAAUGCUAAAAGGGACUAUUAAUACAGUCGUAGAGUACUUCUCUAGUAUGUGUGAAGCCUUGGAUUUGAUCCACAGCACCACCAAAACCAAAAACAUAUACAUUAAAACAUGGGAGUUCU